UGAACGCUUUCGUCGUGUUUUUCAUGCAGCUUUUACAGACCAUGACAAGCCUGACGAGAGCGUUCA
rnacentral:pre_miRNA from 1 species